CCAAACAAAGACAGCGAAUAGCUCUCAUAUGUCGUUUUCAUCUUCUCCUUUCUCACAUGUGCUCUCUGAAUUCAUCUUCUCCUUUGGGCUAUGAACUUUGAAACAAUUUUGAAAUCAAAAGUCUUCAAUCCCUUAUCCAUGCAACAUCUACUUCUCACACUGUCAAAGCUUCAGAAAUUCCAUUUUAAUCCCUUAUCUCUCUUCAAAUCCUCCUCUAAUUUGGGAAUUUUUUCUCAUGUCUUUACAAGAUGAAAAACCCAAUGUUGAAUAAUACCCAUUUUAUUGAUUCAUUCUCUGUUGAUUUUGCAGGUUUGGUCAAGGCGCAUGCAGUUUGGAUUUCCCUCCAAAGGGAUAAGAUCAGAUGAAUAGGUAAAAGAGGUUUUGUCUAUUUAAGCAGUUAUGUAGUUUUUUGGCUUCUCCAUCUGUUAUUUUAUGGAUUUAAUUUCAUCAUCUGAUUUUUAUGCUACCUGUUUCUUUUUUGUCUAUGUUUGCAAAUUUAUUUUUCUUCUCAAUCUUCUCAAUCGAAUCCUCCAACCUGUUUCAAGACCCAUCCAGCAGAGAUUUUGUUGAUUUCGAAAGUUGGUUGCUUUACUGCUCUAAAAAGUUAGACAGGGGUAAGAGCUUAAUUGUUUUGCUAAUGAUAAUUAUUUUCAUGUUUCUUCAUCAAAUUUUAGUUUCAAAUCAUAUCAUUUUUCUUGCUUUGGAAUGUUUUAUUGUUUGUCAGGUUUACAAAUUAGGAUAGCACAUUAACCCUUUGGAAUUUAACUGAUUUCUAAUAUGGUUUUGUUUAUUUAAAUCUGCAGCUUAGGUUUCAUUAAGAAAUAAGUAUGCUUUCAAUAUUUUAUGAAAUUUUAAACACAGCAAGACUUUUUUUUUUUGCUCAUUAUAUAACUUAUUUGAGGUCUUUUAUUGAAUUUAUUUUGUACAUACUUCUUGAUGAGAAUACUCUUUUAUGCAUUAUAUUGUUCAAUGUGAUGAAUGUAUUUUAAUAUUGAAUACAUUUAUGAUAUAUUGAAAAUUAUACUUGAAGCACACGAAAAGUGUGAAUGUUAAUAUUCAACCAAUGGGAAAGCUAUUUUGCUAGCAUUAUUCUAAUCCAAUUUCAACUAUUUGUUACAAGAAUAUAUGUUUCAAUUAAUCUCCUUAAUUGCGUAUUUUAUGUUUUCUUAAUCUCAUAUAUUAAUCUAAUCUCAUAUAUUAAUCAUGAUUUAAUUUUUUAUUUUAAUCUUGAUUUGCAUGAGGAUAUAGCUUUUAACUAGACUACAUUUGUUGACUGAAAGGCAUGGACUGAAACCAAAAGGUAUGGAUAAUAGGGCUCAAGCCAUUUAGGAAUUUCAGUGCUUUAUGCCCAUUGUUUGACCAAGGAUUUGAGGGCUCAAGCCAUUCAGGUUAUUCUAUGUUACUUGAUGAUAAAACUUUAAAAAAAGGAUUGAACCAUUACUUGAUUACUCAACCUGAAAUGAAUUUUCUUCACUAUUUCAUGAGUAUGUGAUAGCUGCAUUUGGUAAACACAUGGCUACAUUUACUAAACCUGAAAUUGCACUGAUAUGUGAACUUGAUAUCUAUUAAUUCUAUUAGCAUUUUUGGAUGCUUGAAUUUUUUAAAUUGUGAUUGCAUUUGGACUGAAAUUGAUUUAAAACUGCAUAGUUCUUUCAAAUUGCAUAAUUUUCUGUUCAUGUUAUUUUUGUUCAAGUAAAAAUUGACUAUUAUCCUAUUUGACUAUUUAAUUAUCUUUCCUUAUAUGUUCAUUUCUUAUAACAUGAAUUUUUAUGUUCUUUGAUUUGACUAUCUAAUUAUCGGUUCAAAUUAGUCAUUAGAUGUGUUUGAGUUGGCCUUGCAUUUAUAAUUUUUAAAGUUUAAUUUUAGUUGAUUUUACUCUCAACACUUUGAAAAUCUUACUAACAGUGUUGUUUGAAAAACCUUUGCAUAAUUUAGAUGCUUAUAGUAGUUUGAUCCCUAAACUUACUACCUCACAACACAGUUACAAUAGCAAGUAACAGGGGAUUAUUGAUCUUUAUAUCAAUUUAAUGUCAGGAAGUACCUUAACCAUUCAAUCGAACUAUUGUGCAUUCUUCUCUAUAUGCAUUCACUUUGAGGUUAAUCUAAUUGGCUUAAAUAAAUUUGAGAGUCCCAAAUCAGUUCAUAUGGACUACUUUUACUUAAUGGUUUUGAGAUUCUGAUUUUUUUUUUUUUACUAUUUUGUUACACUCCUAAACUGCUAAAAGAGGCUAAACUAUUGAAGAUUGUUUUUAUUUUCGAUAUGAAUUCAUGUUUGUUAAAUUUCAUGGAUUUAGGUUAUCCAUGAUUGUUAUGAUGUGUGGUAAGUGUCUGAUAUGGUUGAGUUUCAAAAUAAAUAUCCUUUAAAUCUUUAUCUUCUUAUUCAUACAUGACAUAUUUUUAUUGCAUUUUUUGUAUGAUAAACAUCAAAGCAUUUGGAACUAUUCAAAGGAAAUGCUUAUUAUUAAAUAAAUCUCAAUAAUUGAUGUAUACAAGUAGAUGGAUUGUUUCAUUUAUCUACUUAUUAAUUUGCAGAUUUUGAUAACAUGAAUUAUGAGAUGAUAUUUGGGCAGGAUCCCAGCAUCAACAAAUAUUUGGUCUGAUAUGAACUUCACAUCUAUGUAUAUCUAUUUGGUUUUGAGAAUUUCAGAAAUUGUCUUUUAUAGUUGUUUAUCUCUUUUCUUUCUCUACAAACUUCUCAUUUGAUUGUUUUGGAUCACCAAUGAUAUAAAAAAAGUGCAAUUGUGUGGAUUUAUUGGAGUGUUUGUUAUCAUCAUGGAGGGUUAGAGAAGGUCGACGAUGAGUGACAGAGGUUGCAGGAUGGAGGUCGCAGCAACUGCACACAAUUGGUUUCAAGACAAUUUCACCAUUUUCUUUCUUCUUUUUGUUGCUGUUUUUUUCUCCUAAUUUUGUGUGUAUCAUUAUUUCUGAUUUGAUCUUCUUUUUUUUAUAGGGGUGUACGUUUCUUGCAAGACAACAAUUGGGGAAGAGAGUAACAAUCAUGAACUCUUGAAUGUUUUAGGCUUUGGACAAUUGUUGAAUAUAGUUUUAAUGUUGAAGAAUAGAUGCAGUUACAAUCACUGUUUUUUUGUUUUUGUAAUAUUUUUUAUAUUGUUAAGAGGUAGAGCAAAAAUUGAUCCACCAGGCUGUCUGUCCUAGGUAGCAUGUGAGAGCUGCUCCUUCUUUUGGCGUGUUAGUUAAGAUAGCAUUGAAGCCGAACCUAACGUGGCUGAUGCAGCUGUAGUUUUCCUUAGAUUAAAAGCUGCAUUACAAUGUUGCCACUGCCAUUUAUCCUAUCAUUUUAGAUUGAAUUUUGAAGUUCAUAAUUUAGUAGGUGUAUGUGGGAGUAUUGGCUCCAAAAUUUGGAUGGGAUCUAUCCCCACAUCAGCAGCUGACAUGGUCUACUGUAGUAUUAAGGCCAUUGGAGAACAAGAUAUUUAUUGGUGAAAAGCACUAAAGCAAUAGAAACGACCCCAUUGUCUACUAAUAUUACUAACGGCAAUGAAUGUUUAUUUGUUGUUUCAA